GAGACAAUACUCUUCCUGGACUGAACCUUGUGGUUCUUACUAUGAUUGCAGAACACACCUCAGCGACAACCGUCAGGAAACUUUGAAACACUCUUACUCACAAGUCCUGGAGGAUGCAUACCACACCCAGGGCCACAGAUAAGGUAGCAGUAAGAGAGAGAGAGAGAAAGAGAGAGGCAAAGAGAGAAAGAAAGAGACAGAGAGACACCUAGAGUUUUCCAGGUUCACUAUUAAUUGGGGAAUUUAAAACAUAUGAGUGGGACGUAAGCCUGGAGAAGGGAAAGCACGGUUACUCAGACAGGGCUUUUUAAAAGGGGAAACUCAUGGGUGGGGAGGCCUGGCCCUUUAUCUAGUUGUGUAGCUGCCAAUGUGUUUAUUUGAGAUGGAUGUCUUUGAAAUGGAUGCCUUGACAACCAAAGCUUAAUGUCAAGCACCGACAUUACAAUAAAAAAAGCUAAUGGUCACGCAUUUACACUACACAUCUAUUGUAAGACGCUUCCCAAUUUCAGAGCUGUUAAAACAUUAUAGAAAAUGCAUUUUGGAACUAAAGAAAUUCAACAUUGAGCAUUUAUCACUGGCUAAGUGCUUUACAUAGAACUUAAGUAAUCAUUGCAAAUCAGGAUUACCACUUUUCAUCUCUAUUUUGCAGAUGAGGGAAUUGAAGCUCACGGAGGUAUAUAACUUGCCCUUGGUCAUAAAACUGGCAAAUUGAGGAACUGAGAUUUUAACACAACUCUACCUGAUAGAGCACCCAAGCUCCUUACCACUGUGCUAUCCUUGCUUUGGGGACUGGAAUGAAGGAGUCCAAAGCUGCUUUAAACAAGUAUUGGAAUAGAAUUGUCAGAAGUGUCCUGCCCAGGUCUUGCCUGACGGGGGCCAAGGGCUGACCCCCACAGAAUGUGACCUUAAGAGGCAAUAUAUUGGUCUUUGGAAGAGAAUUCUUGACGAACUCUUUGGUCCUGGAAAUUCACAUUGAAAGCCAUCCCUUCCAGCUGCUGAAGUGACUAUGGAAGCGUGUAUUAAGGUGGAGCCUCUUUCAGCCUGUUUCUUCCAGUGAUGCAAUGAGCAGAAGGCCACUGCCAAGCCAACUAGACACUGAGCAUGAGUGACAAAUAAACUUUUGGUCUGCUUGCUGCUGAA